rnacentral:lncRNA from 1 species
UGAAUCUACACUCUAAAAUAUGUCUAUAUACAUCCGUGUGUGGUUUGUAGUGCAAUCUCUAAAAAGACUUAUAUUUAGGAACGGAGGAAGUACAACAUAUGUGUGCUUGUGGCUGCCUCCAUUGUCAGGCAUUUUCAUGCAUACAAUAGGCAACCAUGAGAUAAGAGAAAGAAACACAAGAACAACAAUAGACAGAAGCCCAUCUGACUCAUUCCGACCGAACGCGUGCCCAUGCCAAAUUGACCACAUCUGAAGGAGAUAAGUGGGAAAUAACUGGAGAACGAUUAUGGAGCCUCCAUGUUGUGGAGACCUUCCCGGGAGAUGCCGACCUCGACCAUGGCAUUUUUUAUGUUGUCUUGUCUUGAGCAUACAUCCAUCGAAAAAGAAGGCAUGGAUGCAUUGUUUGUCAACAUCCCACCAGUAUAUAUAUAUAGAACCAGAAAAACAAAAUAGCUGCAAGACCAAAUAAAAAGGGCAUUAAAAACACACUUCUAUAAAACAGUGCAAAGUGAAAAAAAUCAAUCAUAUACUGUACACUGUAAUAGGAGAAAAACAAUUAUUAUCCAGUCAAGGACUCUAUUUGCAAGCUAAUGUGAGAACAAAGGAAUCUGAAAAGGAAAAAAAAUCAUCUUCUCCAACAUUAACAGAAAAAAGAGAUACAACCAGCUCUCACAUAUGUAUAUAUCUAGCAAUUAAAAUCAUUCUUACAGUUACUGUAAGAAGGAAACUGGAAAAAGUAGCCACUUUGAUAAUACUAACCAUUGUGUGCAGGAAAAGCGAAGAAAACAUUAAGCAGCAAGAGAAUAUACACAACUCUCUAACAGGAAAUAAUGUAGCUUAAUCGGCGUACUGCCACUCUCUCCAACAUGAAAGAAGAACAAAUUAAUCUUAUAUGUGCACUGCCAAUCUUAUAUGUGCACUGCCCUAGUUCUGUACUUAAGAAAAUGUUAGUACACAUUUUAGUGAAAGAAGAAGGAGAAACUAAACUCAUGCUUAAGAAAAAAAAAACUAUCUGACUAUCAUCACUAUUGUCUCAUUCGGUGCUUCAAUUAUAUGCACACAACAUUACCAAUUCAACCAUUAUAGCAAAAAUCACACACAAAAAGACCAGGAGAAACUUCCUCAAGCAGCUUCCCAAAGUCGGAUUUCGAAUCUAAUAGGAUAAACUAAAGAAUCUUAUAAGAAAGUUACUGAAUCGGGGCUUGAAAGAACAUAGCGGAACAAAAGGACAACUUCCACAAUCUGAGACAUAUGAAGAGGUGAAUUAAAGGAACUUGCUAAUGUUUUCGGAUAACAUGCUAUGGAAUAUCUCAAAAAAAAUCACGGAAUGAAAAUAAGCGAGUAAUGGGUUUAUGUAUGAGAAGUAAAGGGGAAGAAAAGCAUAAACUACAUGAAAAUAGCUACUGACGUCACAAUUUACGCCCAUUCUUUCUGACCCCAAAAUCAGAACAGAGUAGACCUGAAGGCGAGAGUUCAAGGUUCUCUCCACACCAGCCCAAGCUCCUUCCCUUCGAGCAGCUGACUCCUGUUAAAAUUAGCACACGAUCGAUUAGCGUACUUCAAACAGCUGAAAAAACUCAAUCCACAGACUGUGUAGGUGGUAUAUACACACAAUAAGAAAAGAAAGGUGAACUAACUACACCACAAGGAAAAAUCUGUGGAAGCACCAAUAAUACCUUGGUACUUCAGUUUGCCUUGGGAGUGGCAUUGCUGACUCAGGAACUUGUGUGACCAGUUCAUUAUACCAGAGUUUACUGGCCUGAAGAAUUGAAAAAUGGAAGAAGCUAACAGUUGGUGCAUGCCUAAUUUUACUCUGUAGUACCAGGUACACCAGAAACAUGCUUACCUGUUGGCGCUUUUGAAGAUCGUCCUGAUCCCGUUUUAAUCGUUCUUCCUUGAAAGGAGCCUGAAAUGCCCCCAAAGAAAUAUAUGAUCAGUGGAACCUAAAAUGGAAUAGUACAAAAAAAUAACACUUCAGAUAGCUUCUCUUAAAUGGCUCUCAUGCUCAACAUUGGCUUCUAUGUUACAUGCAUGCGGACAUGUUUUUCUAUCUUCCAAUGUAUUAUUUGGUCAUACAGGAAUUAACCAGUCCAACAAUUGGGCAAAUCUUACUAAAAGUAAAUAAAGGAACAUAACAUGGAGGAGCUUACAGCCUGAUAGACUUAACUGGGCAGUGCCCAACGGUAGUCAUCAACCUUUGAGCCGCAGAACAGCAAGAUCGAAUAGAGCUUGUGGCCAAAAUUAUUCAUUUUAGAGGCUUGCUCACUGCACAAAGAAAAUUGUUUUGCAGUUUACUUUUGUUGACAGGGUGAAAGGAAAACAGCAGCCCAAAAAGAAUAGCUAUUACCUGCCCGCAAGAUCAACCAAGGCAAGGUUCCACGAAUCCUUUCUGCUUGUGUCUUACAGUAAUCUCCAGUACAACGCGUGAACUUGAAAAAAGAGAGGAACAAAUAUUAUUUUCUAUGUGAGAACAAUGUACAAAAAUCAGGGGAGUGAUUAACUGAUCAUAACUACUGUAACUGUCUAUAGAUUAUAGACUGAGAAUCUUAACAAUUAUACUAUGAUAUACUAUCAAAUCAAACCAUAUUUGUACUUCAAGAUACAAAAAAGAAGAGGACUCGGUUCGGUCAUCCACGUGAACGCCCCUCUAAGAAAAGGCUCUUGUUCUUUCUCCAGGCAGUAAAACAAACUCAAUGUAUACUACGAACUCCAUUAAUCUUCUCUCACUAAUUAAUAAUCCAAGAAGCGGCAGGUUAAUCAGGAUACUCCAUCACUUGGGCCCUUACUGCUCUUAUAUGGGCUUGUUACUCUAGUCCAAGGCGAAUACAGAGUAAGUGCUAGCCAGACUUGAUUAAAGGAAUUCAUCCCACAAUAGGAGAAAACAAAAGGAAAUAUUUAUUCCUUUUCACGGAAACACAGGAAAUGCAAUUGUACUAAAUCAACGUACCUGUAAUUGAUUUGGUAUAAAUAGUUCCAAUCCAAAUUUAAUACUACAAAUACAGUUUGUUAUAUUUAAAUCUGUGAGAGGCCUUAUAAAAAAUUCCUACAAAUUUAUUUAGGGUCCUAAGCAUUCUCAUGCUGUGAAGAUUCUCUUUUGAACGGGAAAUAAAUAUGAAGAAUUCCCUAAGACUAAACCGUCCAAGUAUUUUGCUAUGGGAAUAGCCGAUAGAGAUUACAGAAACCAUAAAAAAAUCUUUUCCAUCAAUCAAGUCAAAGAUUACAGUGCAAAUAUGGUAGUUAAGGAGCAUUGCCAAUUUGGCAUUUUAAAAUUCAAAGCAUGGGUAUUAUGUUACCAUCCAAGUGUAUGUAAAGCUUCAAAUAUCAUGUGUUUGCUUUCAGAACAGGGUAUUCGGCAUACUUGACUGACUAAUACAGUAAGCACUAAAUACUAAGCUGCCAUACUUUUUUUUUUUGACAAGAGCUGCCAUACUAAGUAAUCAGUGACCUGCGAAGCUUAACUUAAGCCACAUGGUUUAUGAUAAAAGUAAGCUGCAUAUAGUUCAAUGCAAUGUGGAGUGGGCUGACGUGGUGAACUAUUUCUUAGAAGAUUAAAAGAUAUUCAUGAUUUUGUAAUAUAACAGAUGUAUGAGCAGGUAUAACUUGGAAUAUCCAGGAGAACUGUUUCUUAGAAGAUCAAAAGAUAUUCAUGAUCUAGUUAUAGAAGUAAGGUCUCCCAAUAAACAUAUUAAAUCUGAGUUUUGAUGUCAAUACAAAAUUACAAAUGUGACCAUCGUACACUAAACACAAAAGACUGUCAGAACCUCCUUUAUUCUCCUAACAGCAAUGAUGGCCUGCUUUUGAAUACUCCCAGGAUUAAUUAACCAUGGAAACAAAAGGAAAUUCUCCUAACAGAACCUCCUUGAUUCUCCUAAUAGCAAAACCAAGCGUUCAAACGAAUAGGAGGGUAAACUGCCUAUCGCACACGCACGCACGCACGCACGCACGCACGCACGCACGCACACGUACAUCAGACAUCUCUGUAGUACUAAUUCAAGUAGAUCAAGAAAAUGAAUAGCCAAAUAGCAUGGCAUAUAUAGAAUUGUAGAUUAGUAUCUAGUAUAACCAGAAAAGUUGAAGAGCAUCCAAACACACAAACACCUCAUACCAAAUUCAGUCACAUCAAGAAAAUCAAUAGUUGAAUACAGUCUCAAUCGCAAUCACCCAUCUAGUACCCAUAACAAAAAAUAAAAACAACUAACCAUUGCUGGAAGCAAGUCAUUUACCGGACCAUCAAAUAAAACAACUCCCAGAAGGUACAUGUUUAGCCAAUUAACAACUCCCAAGGCCCACUUCUCGAGACAAUAAAUGAGCUUGACUGCAAGCUCCUACAGUUAUAAUAUUCAACAUAGGGCACACACUACAGUAUAUCUGAAUCCAAAUCUAAAGACUGCAGUCAUUAUUGAAUGGCAUACAUAUGAACAAAAUACUAAACCGGACACAUAUAAUCCUUACUGGCAACGAUAUCAAGGUGGUCGGCCACCAACCCUCUUUCAUCACUCACAUGCAUGAGGUAGUUCACACACAUGUCUCGGCACCCCAUCAACAAUCAUCCAGCAAUGAUAUAUUCCAGAUGUCAGAACCAACAAUAUAACAUGUGAACCAACAAUAUAUCGGCAUGAGAUAGGAGAGAAACAUCCAGUUAUGAUAGAAGACACAGUGUCUAUUGAUGACCGAGGAUAGACAAUGCACAAACGACAUCUUAUCAUCACCGAGAAUAACCUCUUUCCCAUAAAACCGACUCUGUACAAACAUCAUCAUCAUACCUGCCGUUUUCUCAGUCAUUUUGGGCGCAGAAAAAGAAGUAGACUCAGCGAACAUUAAGAAGAAUAGUUCGAACUUGAGACUACAAAUAAUCACAGAAAAUAUAGGUGUAACAGUUAUAUGGGUGUACUUAGAUAUACUUUGGUGGUGACAUCAGAGGGCAUCACAAAGAUAGAGUUGUUGAUUUGAUUUUCAGCCAAUUAAUUUCACAAGCUUGCCUCUACAAGUACCUGACCCUCAAUCGGAUCAUCACAACAGCUCCACGCCCUGCCACCUUACCACUACAAAGUUUCACCCACACAGAACGCACAGAAAGCUUACAUUACAGCACAACAAAUCCUACCACCUUCAGCAAAGGCAGAGCACCCGGUCUUUCUCUGUCCAUGUUUUAUUUUACCGCCUGUAUUUUAAGUAUGGAUUUGUGCCUUAAUAGAUCUACUGUUUUUGAACCAAUAGAAGAUUUUGAACGUGAUCAUGUUUAUUUAUUACUAUCCAGAAUUGCAUAUAUAGGUUCAAUUAUGAUAUACUAUCGGUAGACUCUUCUAUUGAACCUGAUCAUGUUUAUUUAUUACAGUCCAGAAUUGCACAUAUAGGUUCAUCUCUAUAUCCUCAAUGGUUCAACAAUCUUCGGAUUAUGUGGCAGUGUUUGGGAAAACUGGUGCUGCAAGUUUCACAAUCUGUGCAAAAUAGUAAGCUCACAUAUUAAUAGCUACUUGAAAGAUGCAAAGGCUUGCUCUGCAGAAGAUUUGAGAGUCAAAGCAUGGUAAUUGGCUUGCACCAGGUGCGUGUCAUUGCUUUGUUUGGUAGCCUCAGCAACACAACAAAGGCAAACAAGAAAACAAAAUGAUUCUGUAGGCUGCUACUAACACCAUGGACAAAAAACAGAAGCAAACAAACAAAGCAAGGAAAGCAACAAAAGCAACAAUCCUAGGCCCUACCAGGAGGAAAAGGCACAUAUUUAUACUCCAGUAAAAAACAAGCAAGGAGGGCAAGGAAAGGACCAAAAUUAAGUGCACAGACUCUCUACCAGGAACAAAACACAUAAAACAAAAGGCUCUCAUUGGCCAAUUUGCAUAAGAGGAGCAAAGAGGAGGAGAAGAAGGGUCAACCUGCAGAUCCGUAAUGCUGCGGCAGGGAGACAACAUGCAGGCACAUGCUGAACAAGGGAUCGACCAAGCAGACGUGAAACCAGAAACAAUGAACCAACCUGCAGCAAAAUCAAAGGUAAAUCACGGAUGAGCAACAACCAAUGACCAAGAACGGGACAAAAAGGAUGCAUACCUACAGUUCAGCUAGCACAGCAACAGAUCUGACACAUCAACGACGAUAAGAACAAGAGACCUGCAGACAAAUGAGAUCCAAAAUCAAUCAAGGACGGUCAACCCAAUGGAAAGAAAUAAUAUGAGACAAGGGACACUAUCUUACCCAACGUCAUGGUGCAGCUAAGCCAUCACAACCCAAAGCUUGGAGGCCACAGCCAUGGCGGAUGGGAAGGCGGAUAGCCAAGGAGGAGAACGAGCACCGCUGCCGUGGCAGAUGGAGAGGCGACCGUCGGUGAGGAGGACGAGCGCCGGAGCCGUGGCGGAUGGAGAUGCGACCUCCGACGAGGCUUGUGGCGCCCAUCGUCCCCGAGGAGGUUGACCCGCGGCGCCCACGCCUCCGGCAACUGCGGCGCGAACCCGCGGAGGCACGCGCACACCUGGCGAUGCCCUCUGGCGGCGAUGCGCGUGGUGGCCGUGGACGGGGAGGAUGGCCAGCGAGGAGUGGCGGCUAGGGUUCAAUCGGGGGCGGGGCGAGUGGGCGACUGAGAGAAGACGUGGUGCGGGGUCGCGGGGAGGAGAGGAGGCAGGCGGCGACGCGCGAGAAAGGGAGCGAGG